rnacentral:tRNA from 1 species
AAGGAUAUAGCUCAGGGGUAGAGCAUGUGCUUAGCAUGCACGAGGUCCUGGGUUCAAUCCCCAGUACCUCUA